rnacentral:rRNA from 1 species
AGAGUUUGAUCCUGGCUCAGAGCGAACGUUAGCGGCGGGCUUAACACAUGCAAGUCGAACGAGAAAGUUCCCUUCGGGGGAUGAGUAAAGUGGCGCACGGGUGAGUAAUACGUGGGUAACCUGCCCUCUGGUGUGGGACAACAGCUCGAAAGGGCUGCUAAUACCACAUGUGUCGGUGACGUCCUUGGAUGUUACCGGGAAAGGUGGCCUCUGCUUGCAAGCUAUCGCCAGAGGAGGGGCUCGCGCCCCAUCAGCUAGAUGGUGAGGUAACGGCUCACCAUGGCUAAGACGGGUAGCUGGUCUGAGAGGAUGGCCAGCCACACUGGGACUGAGACACGGCCCAGACUCCUACGGGAGGCAGCAGUGGGGAAUAUUGGACAAUGGGCGAAAGCCUGAUCCAGCCACGCCGCGUGUGUGAUGAAGGCCUUCGGGUCGUAAAGCACUGUGGAGGGGGAAGAACAGGCAGCGGGAACAAUACCCCGUUGUUUUGACGGUACCCCUUUAGCAAGCACCGGCUAACUCCGUGCCAGCAGCCGCGGUAAUACGGAGGGUGCAAACGUUGCUCGGAAUUAUUGGGCGUAAAGCGCGUGUAGGCGGUGCGUUAAGUCGAGUGUGAAAGCCCUGGGCUCAACCCAGGAAGUGCGCUUGAAACUGGCGCGCUAGAGUACGGGAGAGGGUAGCGGAAUUCCCGGUGUAGAGGUGAAAUUCGUAGAUAUCGGGAGGAACACCAGUGGCGAAGGCGGCUACCUGGACCGAUACUGACGCUGAGACGCGAAAGCGUGGGUAGCAAACAGGAUUAGAUACCCUGGUAGUCCACGCCGUAAACGAUGAGUGCUAGGUGUCGCGGGUAUUGACCCCUGCGGCGCCGCAGCUAACGCAUUAAGCACUCCGCCUGGGGAGUACGGCCGCAAGGCUAAAACUCAAAGGAAUUGACGG